GAACGCUCGUAGCAAUACGGGAGUGGCAGACGGGUGAGUAACGCGUGGGAACAUACCCUCCGGUUCGGAAUAGCUCAGGGAAACUUGGAUUAAUACCGGAUACGGCUGAGAGGCGAAAGAUUUAUCGCCGGAGGAUUGGCCCGCGUUCGAUUAGCUAGUUGGUGAGGUAAUGGCUCACCAAGGCGAUGAUCGAUAGCUGGUCUGAGAGGAUGAUCAGCCACAUUGGGACUGAGACACGGCCCAAACUCCUACGGGAGGCAGCAGUAGGGAAUAUUGGACAAUGGGCGCAAGCCUGAUCCAGCCAUGCCGCGUGAGUGAUGACGGCCUUAGGGUUGUAAAGCUCUUUCGCUCGGGACGAUAAUGACGGUACCGAGAUAAGAAGCCCCGGCUAACUUCGUG
rnacentral:rRNA from 1 species